CAGUCUUCUCGUUCGUCUUCCUCCAGAACUUCUGCAACCUGCAUGCUGAUUACUGGCUUCUGACUCUACUUUUAACCCUUCAUCUAUGUCAUGCCGGCAGUUCCCUUCGUCGUACAAGUGCUCGUCACGACCACCGCCCCACUACCUAAAACGCAACCACCAUUGCUGUAAUCCCCGCCAUAACAAUCACCCACCGCAGGAUUCCACCACCACCCAUUAUGUUCCUCUUAACUUCAUUAUCCACCUCCAAACCGACCCCGCGGCUACUGUUUCCGAAAAGAAGCCUGACCUUCACUCUCUCAUCUCCGAAUGCAAACCAUCUCCUGGGCGCACCAUCUUUCCUGCCACAGGUCCUGUAAUAGUCUCCUUGUAUUUCCGGGAAUGGAACCAUACUCUCGCCUUCAUCACCAACCUGUGGGACCUUCGGCUUCGUGGGGUACACACCUUGAACCCGAAACUCCAAUCCAACGUCGUCGUUCCCUCAGAUAUUGAGGAGCUGCAACAAAGCCUCAAAACCCUGUUUAUCAACCACGUAAAUGAGUUAGUCAACGGUGAGUUAGUUGAUAAAUGGCAACAGAAACUAUCCCAGAAAUGUGACGAGAUCGCUGACGUGUCGCGUUGUCUUAAGAGGCGUAAUCGACUAGGAGUGUAUAACGAACUGAGCGAAAGGAAGAAGAGGCUGGUGGUGGAGAGGAAUUUGAUGGGAAGGAGAGUGAGGGAAUUUAAGGCAGCUAUGAGUUGUAUUUUGGGAUAUCUCGAAGGGGGCGGAGAGCUAGGGGACGAGGAGGAGGAUGGAGGUGUGCAGGUGUUCACGUUGGAGGGGGAUUUUGAUUGGGAACGCAUUCAUAGACUAGUUUUGAGGGAAAUUAGAAGACUGGAGGAUGGUCUGCCCAUUUACUCGCAUAGGCAGGAAAUUCUGAGGAAAAUUUGUGGCAAGCAGGUAUAGUUUUAAGUAAAGCUUUUCUCUUCGCCCCGCCCCUCCGUUUCUUCUCCUGGCGAAGUGAGUUAUGCUUUGAAGGGAGCUGGUCGGAGAGAUUAUAGGGGUUAUGUUUGAUUGUUGAUAUAUAUGAUCCUUGUGGCAUGAUGUAUUUUUUAUUUGGUUGGUGGUAUUUGCUUGAAUUGGAAGAUUACAGGAAGAAGGGGUGUAUAUGAAUAAAUGUUAUGAGUUUGUGUGGCCAUUCUUUUGAAUGCCCAAACUCAUAGUGCAAGACUUUAUACCUCUUUGUUCUCUUAAGCACAUGUGUACAUCAUAGAUCUGAUAGUUCGUGCAUGAACAAUAGUACAUUGAUACUUUCAUGCUCAUGUAAUUGUUUUCUGUUGAGCUGUAGUUAUAAUUGAAAGCAAAUGAUGAGGCAUGAAAUGAGAAGUGUUCCAAUGCUUCUUCAUUUUGAAAUUGCUCCCUUUUUAGUCCUUGCGUGCGUAAUUUAAACUUCUCUUUUUAAUCUUUAAUGUCGCUAUGAACAUUUAGUUCUUCUUACCACUGUUUGCACAGGUAAUUGUAUUAGUCGGGGAGACUGGUUCGGGAAAAAGUACACAGUUGGUCCAAUUUCUUGCUGAUUCAGGAAUCGCUGCCAAUGAAUCAAUCAUAUGUAUUCAACCCCGCAAGAUCGCAGCCAUCUCAAUUGCAGACAGGGUCAGAGAAGAGAGUAUAGGUUGCUAUGAAGAUAAUUCAAUCAUCUCUCUUCCAACAUUUUCAUCCACUCGUCAGAUUGAUUCCAAGGUAGUGUACAUGACAGAUCACUGUUUAUUGCAGUACUGUAUGAACGACAGGAGUUUAUCUGGGAUUUCAUGCGUCAUUGUUGACGAGGCUCAUGAAAGAAGCUUGAACACUGACCUUCUUUUGGCAGUGAUUAAAGGUUUACUCCUCCAGAGGUUUGAUUUAAGGCUUGUAAUAAUGUCUGCAACAGCUGAUGCAAACCAGCUGUCAGAUUACUUUUUUGGGUGUGAAAUUGUUCAUGUGGUAGGUAGAAACUUUCCAGUAGAUGUUAGGUAUAUCCCUUAUACCAUAGAGGAAACUGCUUCUGGUAUUGUUGCUCCAUAUGUAUUUGAGGCUGUGAGGAUGACGAUGGAGGUUCAUAAAACAGAGAAAGAAGGGACCAUUCUUGCCUUUUUAACUUCUCAGAUGGAAGUAGAAUGGGCUUGUGAGGAAUUUGAAACUCCCUCUGCAGUUGCAUUACCCUUACAUGGAAAGCUUUCUGGUGAAGAGCAACAUCGUAUUUUCGAAAAUUAUCCUGGGAAAAGAAAAGUUAUAUUUGCCACUAAUCUUGCAGAGACUUCACUUACAAUUCCUGGGGUCAAGUAUGUGGUUGACUCUGGCAUGGUCAAAGAGAGUAAAUUUGAUCCAGUCAGUGGCAUGAAUGUGCUCAGAGUUUGCAGGAUUAACCAGAGUUCUGCUUUGCAAAGAGCUGGUCGUGCUGGGAGAACAGGACCUGGAAUAUGUUAUAGACUCUAUUCAGAACAUGAUUAUGACUCGAUGUCUCUCAAUCAGGAACCUGAGAUUCGGAGAGUUCAUCUUGGUGUCGCGGUUCUGAGGGUACUUGCUUUGGGAGUCAGAAACAUACAGGACUUUGAUUUUGUUGAUGCUCCUUCUGCCUUUGCUAUUGACAUGGCCACUAGGAACCUUGUUCAGCUAGGUGCCAUCACGAAGAAAAAUGAUGUUUAUGAAUUAACUGAGGAAGGUUGCUACUUGGUUAAAUUGGGUAUUGAGCCUUGCCGUGGCAAGCUCAUUCUCAGUUGCUUUCAUCAUGGCUUGGGCAAAGAGGGCAUUGUUCUUGCUGCUGUAAUGGCAAAUUCCAGUAGCAUAUUUUGCAGAGUUGGUAACGAUGAUAAUAAGCUAAAAGCUGAUUGUCUUAAGGUGCAGUUUUGCCAUCACAAUGGUGACCUUUUCACUCUUCUCUGUGUGUAUAGGGAGUGGGAGUCUCUGCCUAGGGACAGAAGAAAUAAAUGGUGUUGGGAAAAUAGCAUUAAUGCCAAAACCAUGCGGAGAUGCCAAGAAAGUGUGAAGGAACUGGAAAUUUGCCUUGAAAAGGAGCUUCAUGUUACUAUUCCAACAGACUGGCAUUGGAAUCCUCAUAAGUCUAGUGAGCAUGAUAAAAAUUUGAAACAGGCCAUACUCUCUGCACUUGCAGAAAAUGUAGCCAUGUACUCAGGUUGUGAUAAACUUGGUUAUCAAGUGGCAUUGACUGGAAAGCAUGUUCAGCUACAUCCAUCAUGUUCAUUGCUAAUAUUUGGUGAUAAGCCAAGUUGGGUUGUUUUUGGUGAACUACUAUCCACAUUUAGUCAAUAUUUGGUCUGUGUUACUGCUUUUGACUUCGAAUCAUUGUGUAUGAUUUUUCCUCCUCCCUUGUUUGAUGCCCUUAAGAUGGAAAGUCAAAAGUUGCAAGUGAAGGUUAUGACAGGUUUUGGCAAUACUCUGCUCAAAAAGUUAUGUGGGAAAUCUAACAAUAAUCUUCUAUCUCUUGUAUCAGGAAUUCAGAGUGCCUGUGAGGAUGAGCAGAUUGUUGUUGAGGUAAAUGUUCAUCAGAAUGAGAUUCUCUUAUUUGCCACCUCAGAACACAUGGAAAAGGUGUUCAGCCUUGUAAAAGAAGCUGUGGAGUAUGAGCAAAAACGGUUGCGUAAUGAAUGCAUGGAGAAAUGUUUGUAUCAUGGAGUAGGGGUCUCGCCUUCUGUGGCACUUUUUGGAGCUGGUGCUGAGAUAAAGCAUUUGGAACUUGAAAGUAGAUGUUUGACUGUUGAUAUAUUUCUUUUUAGUUCAAAUACAGUUCAUGAUAGGGAGCUUUUGAUGUUUCUUGAGAAAUUUGUUUCUGGAGGUAUUUGUGCUGUCCACAAAUCUACAGGCUUUGGACAAGAUGGUGAUGUAAAGGAUAAGUGGGGCAAGGUAACAUUUCUUACUCCUGAUGCUGCUAGAAAAGCUGCUCAGCUGAAAGAAAUGGAAUUCAGUGGCUCCUUACUGAAGGUACUGCCAUCGCAAACAACCUUUGAAAGUGAUCAUAAAAUGUUUUCAUUCCCUGCUGUCAAAGCAAAGGUUUAUUGGCCUCGUAGGUGCAGCAAAGGGUUUGCAGUUGUUAAAUGUGAUAUGCAUGAUGUUGAAUCCAUGAUGUGUGAUUUCUCUAUUAUAUCAAUAAGAGGAAAGAAUAUUCGGUGUGAAGUUAGUAGAAAAAGUCCAGAUUCUAUUAUUAUAAGCAGAAUUGAUAGAGAACUUUUUGAAGAUGAUGUUUUAGAUGUAUUAAGGGGGGCUACAAGGAGGAGAAUCCUGGGUUUUUUCAUUGUGAGGGGAGAUGCUGUAGAAAAUCCUGCGCGGGGUGCUUGUGAAGAAGCGCUUCUAAGAGAAAUCUCUUCCUUUAUGCCUAAAAGCAAUCCUCACACUAGCUGUUGCAGAGUCCAAGUCUUACUACCUGAACCCAAGGAUGCUUUUAUGAGAGCUUUGAUCACCUUUGAUGGAAGAUUACAUAUGGAGGCAGCAAAGGCCUUGGAGCAUAUGGAAGGGAAAGUGUUACCUGGAUGUCUUUCUUGGCAGAAAAUAAAGUGCCAGCAGUUGUUUCAUACCUCACUUUCCUGCUCAGCAUCUGUCUAUUUUGCAAUUGAGAAGGAACUGAAUUCUCUCCUUGCAAGCUUCAAGCAUCUGAAGGGUGUAGAAUUCAGUCUAGAAAAGAAUGAAAAUAGUUCCUACCGGGUAAGAAUAUCUGCCAAUGCCACAAGAACUGUUGCAGAGCUGAGAAGACCUUUGGAAGAGCUCAUGAAAGGACGAAUAAUAAAUCAUGCGAGCCUCACUCCCACUAUUUUAACACAUUUGUUCUCCAGACAGGGUAUCAAUCUGAUGAAGUCAAUACAGAGGGAAACUAAAACAUACAUCUUAUUUGACAGAUGGAACUUCAAACUAAGGAUCUUUGGUUCUUCAGACAAUGUUGCUUUUGCCCAGCAGAAGUUGAUUCAAUCCCUUCUGACAUACCAUGAGAGCAGGCGACUUGAGAUUCAUCUCAGAGGUGGAACUCUGCCUCCUGAUAUGAUGAAGAAAGUAGUUAAGAAGUUUGGCCCAGACCUUUAUGGGCUCAAAGAGAGGGUACCUGAGGCAGAGUUUACACUUAGCACCCGUGGCCACGUUAUCUAUAUUCACGGAAGCACGGAAUCGAAGCAAAAAGUGGAAGAAAUAAUUUUUGAGAUUGCACAGACAAGUGCUGAUUCAGCUGAGACACUUGAUGAUGAAGCUACCUGUCCCAUUUGCUUGUGUGAAGUUGAGGAUGGUUACCGGCUUGAAGACUGUGGACAUUUGUUUUGUCGAUUUUGCUUGAUGGAACAAUUUGAAUCAGCCGUAAAAAACUUGGAUAGUUUCCCAAUAGGCUGUGCCCGUGAGGGCUGUAGGGCUCUCAUAUUGCUUUCAGAUAUCAGGUGUCUGUUGUCUGGUGAGAAGAUGGAGGAACUCUUUAGGGCUUCUGUGGGGUCAUUUGUAGCAUCAAGUGGGGGAACCUACAGGUUUUGCCCAACUCCUGACUGCCCUUCUGUAUAUCGAGUUGCUGGUCCUGAGACAUCUAAACCAUUUGUCUGUGGAGCGUGUUUUGCAGAAACUUGUACUGGGUGCCAUUUGGAGCAUCAUCCAUACCUUUCAUGUGAGAGGUAUGCAGCAUUCAAGGAAGAUCCCGACUCGUCAUUGAAGGAGUGGUGCAGGGGAAGAGAGAGCGUGAAAAACUGCCCGGUUUGUGGCUAUACAAUUGAAAAGGUCGAUGGCUGCAACCAUGUUGUUUGCAAGUGCGGGAGGCAUAUCUGCUGGGUCUGUUUAGAGUCCUUUAACAGUGGUCCUGACUGCUAUGGCCACUUGACUGCUGUACAUGGGGCCAUAAGCUUUUAGUUCACUUACAUUUUCUACUUGUUUUCUAGUCUUGUAUACAAGUAUAAAUAUAAUUAUAAACAAUAGUAUCCACGGCCACCACCAUCCUGGCAAUCCUUUCCCUGGUUCAACAAUUCUUUCACCCUAUCUGAUCUUCCACAGGUAAACCCCCAUUUCUUUUCUUGCGGUUGCCAUUCUGAUUGCAACUUGAAGACUUG
rnacentral:misc_RNA from 1 species